GGAUGCGAUCAUAGCAGCACUAAAGCACCGGAUCCCAUCAGAACUCCGAAGUUAAGCGUCCUUGGGUGAGAGUAGUACUAGGAUGGGUGACCUCGUGUUGCAUUCC
rnacentral:rRNA from 1 species